UAAUACGUAGGGUGCAAGCGUUAAUCGGAAUUACUGGGCGUAAAGGGUGCGCAGGCGGUUAUGUAAGUCAGAUGUGAAAUCCCCGGGCUUAACCUGGGAAUGGCGUUUGAAACUACAUGACUAGAGUGUAGCAGAGGGAAGCGGAAUUCCAUGUGUAGCAGUGAAAUGCGUAGAGAUAUGGAGGAACAUCGAUGGCGAAGGCAGCUUCCUGGGUUAACACUGACGCUCAUGCACGAAAGCGUGGGGAGCAAACAGGAUUAGAUACCCUGGUAGUCCACGCCCUAAACUAUGUCAACUAGUUGUCGGGUCUUAACAGACUUGGUAACGUAGCUAACGCGUGAAGUUGACCGCCUGGGGAGUACGGUCGCAAGAUUAAAACUUAAAUGAAUUGACGG
rnacentral:rRNA from 1 species